rnacentral:rRNA from 1 species
UACGGAGGGGGGCUAGCGUUGUUCGGAAUUACUGGGCGUAAAGCGCGCGUAGGCGGCUUAGCAAGUUAGAGGUGAAAGCCCGAAGCUCAACUUCGGAAUUGCCUUUAAAACUGCAAAGCUAGAAUCAUGGAGAGGUGAGUGGAAUUCCGAGUGUAGAGGUGAAAUUCGUAGAUAUUCGGAAGAACACCAGUGGCGAAGGCGACUCACUGGACAUGUAUUGACGCUGAGGUGCGAAAGCGUGGGGAGCAAACAGGG